rnacentral:lncRNA from 1 species
UCUUCCAGAGAGUUCCUUCACCUACUCUCUUUCUCUCACUGUGUUCUUCGUCAUUUUUGCCUUCAAAUCUAUACGUUUUCAUGGUAUCAGAGCCGGAUGAUCUUCGGGUCCUUCUCGGUUGCGUGUUAUCGAUCCCGUUUGAAGUUUUUGCUGAAGCUUUUUUUAUGGUUACCGGUGAGAGAUACUGUUGGCAGAUUUUUCAACGAAUGUUGAGCGAAUAAUCGAAAUUUUCCUGUUAUUCUAGGUUCCGAUCUUGUAUCAGUGGGUGUUUUGGGUAAUUUUCCGGCAUCCCUUGUUUUAUUCCGACGAGUUCUUCAAGUUCUUGGGUUUUCCGAUUUUCGGACCUAGAGCUUUGGUGUUAUCCGAUGACUUUGUCUUCGCUUGAUAGACGUUUUGGGUAACUUUUCGACGUCUGUGACCUUAUUCUGGUGAGUUUCAGAACCUACGGUUUCCGGUGUUGUACCUAGGGUUUUAUCUGUUGAUUGAAGGCCGAUCUUCUCCGGUCGCGAAAAAGGAGGGUAACUCUGUCCUUAUUUUGAGUAUUGUAUGCUUUAUAUGUGAACUUUGGUUCCGUUAUAUUUUGCUUACCGA